UAGGGAAUCUUCGGCAAUGGGGGCAACCCUGACCGAGCAACGCCGCGUGAGUGAAGAAGGUUUUCGGAUCGUAAAGCUCUGUUGUAAGAGAAGAACGUGUGUGAGAGUGGAAAGUUCACACAGUGACGGUAACUUACCAGAAAGGGAUGGCUAACUACGUGCCAGCAGCCGCGGUAAUACGUAGGUCCCGAGCGUUGUCCGGAUUUAUUGGGCGUAAAGCGAGCGCAGGCGGUUUAAUAAGUCUGAAGUUAAAGGCAGUGGCUUAACCAUUGUUCGCUUUGGAAACUGUUAAACUUGAGUGCAGAAGGGGAGAGUGGAAUUCCAUGUGUAGCGGUGAAAUGCGUAGAUAUAUGGAGGAACACCGGUGGCGAAAGCGGCUCUCUGGUCUGUAACUGACGCUGAGGCUCGAAAGCGUGGGGAGCAAACAGG
rnacentral:rRNA from 1 species